GACGAACGCUGGCGGCGUGCCUAACACAUGCAAGUCGAACGGAAAGGUCCUGCUUUUGUGGGGUGCUGGAGUGGCGAACGGGUGAGUAACACGUGAGUAACCUGCCACUGACUUUGGGAUAACUUCAGGAAACUGGGGCUCAUACCGGAUAGGAUCUCUUGCUGCUUGGUGGGGGCUGGAAAGUUUCGGUGGUUGGGGAUGGACUCGCGGCCUAUCAGCUUGGUGGUGGGGUAGUGUCUUACCAAGGCUUUGACGGGUAGCCUGCCUGAGAGGGUGACCGGCCACAUUAGAAUGGAACUGCGGCACAGACUCCAACGGUAGGCAACGGUGGAGAGUGGAGUACUGUAGGCUGGAGCCAGGUGUGACAAAGCCACGUGGGGGAAGAGAGGCAUGGGUUUGUAAACCACUUUCGCCUGAGACGGGACGUGAGUGACGGUAAUGGGUGAAGAAGCACCGGCUAACUACGUG
rnacentral:rRNA from 1 species